GAGGAGAUGGGGAGCCAGGGUUGCUUUUCUGGGAAAGAGGGAGUGAUAAAAUCAGGCAUGGGCUGGUUGGUGAGGUCCCUGUGGGAGGUGAAGGCUGGGACCCAGAACAGCAGAGACUCUGUCGAUGAUGUGGAAAGACCGCGGCUGCAGUUUGGGCAGGCUGAGCCAGGGUUGGGUCUUGCAUGUUGAGAGGCUGGCCUGCGGUGAUGUGGCCAAAGAGGAAGAGCUGGGCUGGGGUGGAGCCCCCUGAGCUGCCCGCUGAUCUGCAGCACUGGAUCUCCUACAACGAGGCCAGCAGCCAGCUGCUCCGCAUGGAGAGUGGGCUCAGUGAUGUCACCAAGGACCAGUGACCGCCACCUUCACACCGUCUGCCCUGGCCACCAUCCUGGGCCUGGGGGCUGCCCACAGAUGGGCAGUCUCAGCCAUACUCUGUUCCAGCUGGAGUAGCCUCCUGACCAGCCUGGCCCACCCUGCUCCACCCACUGGGCCCCCCCAGUUAUUGAUACCCCUCUGUGCUGGGCUCCACGCUAGGCAGAAGGAGGAGUGGCAUUGGCAUCCUGACCCAGCUCUGCCCUCAAGGUGGGGAUGGAUGGGCAAAGGAGAGUCCUGCCUGGCCCUACGAUGAGGCCACUCAUGUGGGCCUAGGUAGGGGAGGAUGGUGCCUGGAGCAGAGGGACCCACAAGUGCCUCCCGAGCCUAGAUCCUGGCUCGGACCACUGCAAGGGCCGAGGCAGGGCCAGACCAGAGCAUCCUGGGUACAGGCCUGGGCUCUCCAGGGCCUGGGCCUGAUUCAGGUGCAGUGGGCACUCCUGAAGGGUCAGAGCGGCAUCUGCCAGGCAGCCCCUCUGGCUUCCGCUGAGGUGGUUGCAGGCCUGGGGCAGAGCCUGGGUGGUCAGAGGCCGGGGCUAGAGGCAGAUGGAAGGGAGGCAUUUGCUGACAGAGGACGGGGCACCCGGGCUCCCCACUGCAGUCGGCCUUGCCUCCUCCUCCUCCUCUACCUCCAGUCAGGCUGGACGGGAGGGUAGCCUUGUGGCUGAGAGGGGUCAGACUAGGUGGCACAGGGGCUCCUGGAAAGACAGCAGGCUUCCUGCUGGGCGUUCCCUUGUUGGAGGGAAUAGAGUGGGGGUGGGACUCUGCAGGGGUGUCCUUGUCCACUCGCACCCCUCGCCGCCCACCAGGGCCAUGCUCUGUGACUUGGGCUGAUCCCCACCCUUUCUGGGCCUACAGCACCACAGGCCGCUGUACCCCCUUAGAGCUGCCCCUCUCUGGCCUGGCCGGCAGGCGUCUUCUUAACUCCUCUGUCCUCUAUAUUCAGCAUGUUCCUUGUCAGCUGCUGGGCCGGCCCUGCCUUGCGCUAGCAGAGCCUCUCCUGGCAGCUUCUCAGGUCUCCCUAAUGGAGACACCAGGCUACUAGGACACUGGCUGGGGCCACCCCCUCCUGCCUAAUGCCUCACCUUACAGCUGGGGAAACUGAGGCCUGGAAUGGCCCAGAGUCACCAAGGCAAAGUUGGGGCUGGUCCCAGCCUGAGGCUCCAGCUGAUGCCCUCAGCUCCCAGAGAGGGGGUGCCCCAUCUAGCUGGGUGCAGGGGUCACUGCUUGUCAGCUCAGGGCCCUGUGCCCGCUUGCCUGUUCCCCUACAUCUGUGCCUGCACAUCCAGAACUGCCUCCUUGCCGCUGCCUCCAGGAAGCCCACCUUGAGCCAGAGUCAAGGGCUGCAGCACUGCCCGAUAGAACACGCCCGCCCUCACUGCUGUUCUUGCCUUACAGCCACCAUGGGAAAGCUGCA
rnacentral:lncRNA from 10 species